GGGUAGGCUGGGCACGGGUGAGCCCAAGGCGCUGUAAACGCCCCGUCUAUGCACUGUGGGGGUUCGAAUUCCCUCCCUGCCCACCA
rnacentral:tRNA from 1 species